rnacentral:sRNA from 1 species
GCCAGGCGCAGUGGUGCACACCUGUCAUCCCAGCAGCUCGGGAGGCUGAGGCAGGAGGAUUGUGAGUUCAGAACCAGCCUCAGCAAAAGUGAGGUGCUAAGCAACUCAGUGAGACCCUGUCUCUA